rnacentral:rRNA from 1 species
GAUAUGGUCAAUAGCCUAACGGCUGAACCAGCAACUAGGAGGAAUGUAUAGGGAAAACUGGUAAAAUGUGAUGUACCUAGUAGUAUUAGAAAUAAAUAUGAGAUUAACUAAGUUAAUUAAAGUUCUAAGUAGGUAUUUGAUUAUGACAGUACCUACAAAAGUCUUGACCAAGUCACGUGCCAGCAGUCGCGGUAAUACGUGGAAGACGAGUGUUAUUCAUCUUUAAUAGGUUUAAAGGGUACCUAGACGGUUAAUUAAGCAAUUAGAUGUACUAAUUAACUAGAGUUUAAUGUAAGAAGGAUUGAGUACGGUGAGUGUAGAGAUAAAAUUCUUUGAUACCACUUAGGAACUGGUAAGAGCGAAGGCUACCUUCAAUGUAAAAAACUGACGUUAAGGGACGAAGGCUUGUAUUAAAUAAUAGGAUUAGAUACCCUAGUAUUUUGAGCAGAAAAUGAUGAGUGUCAUAUACAAGAUUAUUUUGUGUAUAAAUGAAAGUGUAAGCACUCCACCUCAAGAGUAACGUGGCAACACGGGAACUGAAAUCAUUAGACCGUUUCUGAAACUCGUAGUGAAGUAUGUUGUUUAAUUUGAUGAUCCACAAAUAACCUUACCACAAUUUGAAUUACUAUUGUACAUUAUAAGAUAGUAACAAGCGUUGCACGGCUGUCUUCAGUCAAUGUUGUGAAACUUUGGUUAGAUCCAUUUAAUUGACGUAAACCCUUACUUUAUUUAUUAUAGAGUAGUUCGCCGCUAUAUUGGUAGUGAUAUAAGGGACUAGGACAAGUCAUCAUGACCUGAACAUUGUGGGCUAUAGACGUGCCACAUUACCCUUAACAAAAAAGAUGCAAAAUUGCGAAAUUUAGCUAACCUAAAAAAGGACAGAAUAUGGAUUGUAGUCUG